GCACAGAGUUAGCCGGUCCUUCUUAUGUAGGUUAAGUCAACCUCCUGCUUUGUUAGAGCAAGAGCUUUCGUCCCUACCGAAAGGGCUUUACAACCCGCAGGCCUUCUUCACCCACGCGGCGUCGCUGGAUCAGGGUUUCCCCCAUUGUCCAAUAUUCCCCA
rnacentral:rRNA from 1 species